AGUGAACGCUGGCGGCGUGCCUAAUACAUACAAGUCGAAGGAAGUGGCGAACGGGUGAGUAAUAUAUAGCUAAUCUGCCCCUUGCUGGAGGACAACAGUUAGAAAUGACUGCUAAUACUCCAUAGCAAGGGAUGAGACUAUAUCGUAUCAGCUAGUCGGUGGGGUAACGGCCUACCGAGGCUAUGACGCGUAACUGGUCUGAGAGGAUGAUCAGUCAGUUUAGAACUCAGAGACUGUCCAAACUCCUACGGGAGGCUCCAGCAGUGAAUAUUGCGCAAUGGGGGAAACCUCCACGCGGCAAUGCCCCGUGGCGGAUGACCCUGUUCGUAGUGUAAACUCCUUUUGUGCGGGAAGCGGGACCAAACGAGUAAGCAUCGGCUAACCCCGUGACAGCAGCCGCGGUAAUAC
rnacentral:rRNA from 1 species